rnacentral:rRNA from 1 species
AGUGAACGCUGGCGAUAGGCCUAACACAUGCAAGUCGAACGGCAGCACAGUAAGAGCUUGCUCUUACGGGUGGCGAGUGGCGGACGGGUGAGGAAUACAUCGGAAUCUACUUUUUCGUGGGGGAUAACGUAGGGAAACUUACGCUAAUACCGCAUACGACCUACGGGUGAAAGCAGGGGAUCUUCGGACCUUGCGCGAUUGAAUGAGCCGAUGUCGGAUUAGCUAGUUGGCGGGGUAAAGGCCCACCAAGGCGACGAUCCGUAGCUGGUCUGAGAGGAUGAUCAGCCACACUGGAACUGAGACACGGUCCAGACUCCUACGGGAGGCAGCAGUGGGGAAUAUUGGACAAUGGGCGCAAGCCUGAUCCAGCCAUACCGCGUGGGUGAAGAAGGCCUUCGGGUUGUAAAGCCCUUUUGUUGGGAAAGAAGAGCAGCAGGUUAAUACCCCGCUGUUCUGACGGUACCCAAAGAAUAAGCACCGGCUAACUUCGUG